UACGUAGGGUGCGAGCGUUGUCCGGAAUUAUUGGGCGUAAAGAGCUCGUAGGCGGUGUGUCGCGUCGGCCGUGAAAACCUGGGGCUCAACUCUGGGCGUGCGGUCGACACGGGCAUCACUUGAGUUCGGCAGGGGAGACUGGAAUUCCUGGUGUAGCGGUGAAAUGCGCAGAUAUCAGGAGGAACACCGGUGGCGAAGGCGGGUCUCUGGGCCGAUACUGACGCUGAGGAGCGAAAGCAUGGGUAGCGAACAGG
rnacentral:rRNA from 1 species